rnacentral:rRNA from 1 species
CCUUCGGGAACUCUGACACAGGUGCUGCAUGGCUGUCGUCAGCUCGUGUCGUGAGACUGUUGGGUUAAGUCCCGUAACGACGCGCAACCCUUGUCCUUAGUUACCAGCACGUUAUGUGGGCACUCUAAGGAGACUGCCGGUGACAAACCGGAGGAAGGUGGGGAGUGACGUCAAGUCAUCAUGGCCCUUACGGCCUGGGCUACACACGUGCUACAAUGGUCGGUACAAAGGGUUGCCAAGCCGCGAGGUGGAGCUAAUCCCAUAAAACCGAUCGUAGUCCGGAUCGCAGUCUGCAACUCGACUGCGUGAAGUCGGAAUCGCUAGUAAUCGUGAAUCAGAAUGUCACGGUGAAUACGUUCCCGGGCCUU